AAAACAAGCUUUUAAGAGCAGAUGGCGGAUGCCUUGCCAAAGAGAGGCGAUGAAGGACGUACUAGACUGCGAUAAGCUAUGCGGAGCUGUCAAGGAGCUUUGAUGCGUAGAUGUCCGAAUGGGGCAACCCAACUAAUAGAGAUAUUAGUUACUCUUUAAUAGAGAGCGAACCUAGUGAAGUGAAACAUCUCAGUAACUAGAGGAAAAGAAAUCAACGAGAUUCCCUAAGUAGUGGCGAGCGAACGGGGAAAAGGGCAAACCGAGUGCUUGCAUUCGGGGUUGAGGACUGCAACAUCCAAGAGAACGCUUUAGCAGAGUUACCUGGAAAGGUAAGCCAUAGAAAGUGAUAGCCUUGUAUGCGACAAGGCGUUCUUAGGUAGCAGUAUCCAGAGUAGGCCAGGACACGAGAAAUCCAGGUUGAAGCCGGGGAGACCACUCUCCAACCCUAAAUACUACUCUUUGAGCGAUAGCGAACAAGUACCGUGAGGGAAAGGUGAAAAGAACCGCAGUGAGCGGAGUGAAAUAGAACCUGAAACCAUCUGCUUACAAUCAUUCAGAGCCCUAUGAUUUAUCAGGGUGAUGGACUGCCUUUUGCAUAAUGAUCCUGCGAGUUGUGGUAUCUGGCAAGGUUAAGCGAAUGCGAAGCCGUAGCGAAAGCGAGUCUUAAUAGGGCGAACAAAGUCAGAUGCUGCAGACCCGAAGCUAAGUGAUCUAUCCAUGGCCAAGUUGAAACGCGUGUAAUAGCGCGUGGAGGACUGAACUCGUACCCAUUGAAACGGGUUGGGAUGAGCUGUGGAUAGGGGUGAAAGGCCAAACAAACUUAGUGAUAGCUGGUUCUCUUCGAAAUAUAUUUAGGUAUAGCCUCAAGUGAUAAUAAAAGGGGGUAGAGCCCUGAUUGGGCUAGGGCUGCUCGCCGCGGUACCAAACCCUAUCAAACUUCGAAUACCUUUUAUCGUAUCUUGGGAGUCAGGCGGUGGGUGAUAAAAUCAAUCGUCAAAAGGGGAACAACCCAGACUACCAAAUAAGGUCCCUAAGUUCUAUUCUGAGUGGAAAAAGAUGUGUGGCUACUCAAACAACCAGGAGGUUGGCUUAGAAGCAGCCAUCCUUUAAAGAAAGCGUAACAGCUCACUGGUCUAGUGGUCAUGCGCUGAAAAUAUAACGGGGCUAAGAUAGACACCGAAUUUGUAGAUUGUGUUAAACACAGUGGUAGAAGAGCGUUCAUACCAGCGUUGAAGGUAUACCGGUAAGGAGUGCUGGAGCGGUAUGAAGUGAGCAUGCAGGAAUGAGUAACGAUAAGAUAUAUGAGAAUUGUAUCCGCCGUAAAUCUAAGGUUUCCUACGCGAUGGUCGUCAUCGUAGGGUUAGUCGGGUCCUAAGCCGAGUCCAAAAGGGGUAGGUGAUGGCAAAUUGGUUAAUAUUCCAAUACCGACUCAUGGAGCGUGAUGGGGGGACGCAUAGGGUUAAGCGAGCUAGCUGAUGGAAGCGCUAGUCUAAGGGCGUAGAUUGGAGGGAAGGCAAAUCCACCUCUGUAUUUGAAACCCAAACAGGCUCUUUGAGUCCUUUUAGGACAAAGGGAGAAUCGCUGAUACCGUCGUGCCAAGAAAAGCCUCUAAGCAUAUCCAUAGUCGUCCGUACCGCAAACCGACACAGGUAGAUGAGAUGAGUAUUCUAAGGCGCGUGAAAGAACUCUGGUUAAGGAACUCUGCAAACUAGCACCGUAAGUUCGCGAUAAGGUGUGCCACAGCGAUGUGGUCUCAGCAAAGAGUCCCUCCCGACUGUUUACCAAAAACACAGCACUUUGCCAACUCGUAAGAGGAAGUAUAAGGUGUGACGCCUGCCCGGUGCUCGAAGGUUAAGAGGAUGCGUCAGUCGCAAGAUGAAGCGUUGAAUUGAAGCCCGAGUAAACGGCGGCCGUAACUAUAACGGUCCUAAGGUAGCGAAAUUCCUUGUCGGUUAAAUACCGACCUGCAUGAAUGGCGUAACGAGAUGGGAGCUGUCUCAACCAGAGAUUCAGUGAAAUUGUAGUGGAGGUGAAAAUUCCUCCUACCCGCGGCAAGACGGAGAGACCCCGUGGACCUUUACUACAACUUAGCACUGCUAAUGGGAAUAUCAUGCGCAGGAUAGGUGGGAGGCUUUGAAGUAAGGGCUUUGGCUCUUAUGGAGCCAUCCUUGAGAUACCACCCUUGAUGUUUCUGUUAGCUAACUGGCCUGUGUUAUCCACAGGCAGGACAAUGCUUGGUGGGUAGUUUGACUGGGGCGGUCGCCUCCUAAAAAGUAACGGAGGCUUGCAAAGGUUGGCUCAUUGCGGUUGGAAAUCGCAAGUUGAGUGUAAUGGCACAAGCCAGCCUGACUGUAAGACAUACAAGUCAAGCAGAGACGAAAGUCGGUCAUAGUGAUCCGGUGGUUCUGUGUGGAAGGGCCAUCGCUCAAAGGAUAAAAGGUACCCCGGGGAUAACAGGCUGAUCUCCCCCAAGAGCUCACAUCGACGGGGAGGUUUGGCACCUCGAUGUCGGCUCAUCGCAUCCUGGGGCUGGAGCAGGUCCCAAGGGUAUGGCUGUUCGCCAUUUAAAGCGGUACGCGAGCUGGGUUCAGAACGUCGUGAGACAGUUCGGUCCCUAUCUGCCGUGGGCGUAGGAAAGUUGAGGAGAGCUGUCCCUAGUACGAGAGGACCGGGAUGGACGUGUCACUGGUGCACCAGUUGUUCUGCCAAGAGCAUCGCUGGGUAGCUACACACGGAUGUGAUAACUGCUGAAAGCAUCUAAGCAGGAAGCCAACUCCAAGAUAAACUUUCCCUGAAGCUCGCACAAAGACUAUGUGCUUGAUAGGGUAGAUGUGUGAGUGCAGUAAUGCAUUUAGCUGACUACUACUAAUAGAGCGUUUGGCUUGUUUUU
rnacentral:rRNA from 1 species